rnacentral:rRNA from 1 species
UACGGAGGGAGCUAGCGUUGUUCGGAAUUACUGGGCGUAAAGCGUGCGCAGGCGGUUUUGUAAGUCAGAUGUGAAAUCCCCGGGCUUAACCUGGGAACUGCGUUUGAAACUACAAGGCUAGAGUGUGGCAGAGGGGGGUGGAAUUCCACGCGUAGCAGUGAAAUGCGUAGAGAUGUGGAGGAACACCGAUGGCGAAGGCAGCCCCCUGGGUUAACACUGACGCUCAGGCACGAAAGCGUGGGGAGCAAACAGG